UACGUAGGGGGCAAGCGUUGUCCGGAAUUAUUGGGCGUAAAGAGCGCGUAGGCGGCUCGGCACGUCCGUUGUGAAAUCGCCCGGCUCAACUGGGCGGGGUCAGCGGAUACGGUCGAGCUUGAGCAAGCUAGGGGGCAAUGGAAUUCCCGGUGUAGUGGUGGAAUGCGUAGAUAUCGGGAGGAAUACCAGUGGCGAAGGCGGCUUCUUGGCCUGUUCUUGACGCUGAGGCGCGAAAGCUGGGGGAGCAAACGGG
rnacentral:rRNA from 1 species